AGCAAGCACCGGCUAACUCCGUGCCAGCAGCCGCGGUAAUACGGAGGGUGCAAGCGUUACUCGGAAUCACUGGGCGUAAAGCGCGCGCAGGCGGCUAUUUAAGUUGGAUGUGAAAGCCUACGGCUCAACCGUAGAACUGCAUCCAAAACUAUUUAGCUAGAGUGUGGGAGAGGAAGAUGGAAUUAGUUGUGUAGGGGUAAAAUCCGUAGAGAUAACUAGGAAUACCAAAAGCGAAGGCAAUCUUCUGGAACACUACUGACGCUGAGGCGCGAAAGCGUGGGGAGCAAACAGGAUUAGAUACCCUGGUAGUCCACGCAGUAAACGAUGAAUGUUAGUCGUCGGGGGCCUAGUGUCUUCGGUGAUGCAGCUAACGCAUUAAACAUUCCGCCUGGGGAGUACGGUCGCAAGAUUAAAACUCAAAGGAAUAGACGGGGACCCGCACAAGUGGUGGAGCAUGUGGUUUAAUUCGAAGAUACGCGAAGAACCUUACCUAGCCUUGACAUAUCUUAAAACUCCGCAGAGAUGUAGAGGUGCCUUCGGGAGCUAAUAUACAGGUGCUGCACGGCUGUCGUCAGCUCGUGUCGUGAGAUGUUGGGUUAAGUCCCGCAACGAGCGCAACCCUCGUCACUAGUUACUAACGGUUCGGCCGAGGACUCUAGUGAGACUGCCUUCGUAAGGAGGAGGAAGGUGAGGACGACGUCAAGUCAUCAUGGCCCUUACGGCUAGGGCAACACACGUGCUACAAUGGUUAGGACAAUGAGACGCGAUACCGCGAGGUGGAGCAAAUCUAUAAACCUAAUCUCAGUUCGGAUUGUUCUCUGCAACUCGAGAACAUGAAGCUGGAAUCACUAGUAAUCGUAGAUCAGCUAUGCUACGUGAAUACGUUCCCGGGUCUUGUACUCACCGCCCGUCACACCAUGGGAGUUGAUUUCACCCGAAGCGGGGAA
rnacentral:rRNA from 1 species